CCGCCCUUUACCGUGGGGGGGCCCGCUCCCCUUCCUCACCUAAAAUUCUCUCUGCGCCCCCUCCCUCCCUGGCGCCUGGAGCCGCAUCCAGCCCGCGGUCCCUUCGCCCGACCUGGGUGGCAUGCGGUCCUCCCUCGCCCUUUGCUUGGGUUCCUAUGCCCCUAGUCCUAGCUCCCCUCUUUUGUAUCCCCCUUUAAUCCCCCAUCCCCCCAUUCAACCCAACUUCAGCCCCCGCGCUGCGCCCCCCUUCCCUGGCCCGGCUCGAUUGGCCGUUUCCUGAGCUGUCAGACUUGAGCCCGGCGCUCUUAUUGGGCGAUUCUCUGGCCGGGCGGCUGUGCCAAAGGAGGGCGCACCCGGGCCGGGGGCGCCCAGGCAGCGACUGCCGCAGGGAGCCGAAGACCAGAGUCCCUGGAGAGCCAGAGGGGCCCAAGAGCCAGACCCGGAAAUGGACGGGAGAGAUGGAGAGACCGAGGAUCUCUGAGGCCCAGGAAGACAGUUACGGGAAAGAUGGAGAUGCAGUUGGUGAGGCCGAUGCAACCAGGGCUGGGCGGACAGGAAUGCUUUGGUGGCUAGUUACCGAGCAAGAACCCCGCAGACAGCAUUACAAACACCUGGCAUGUGUGAAGAGCGCUCUUUGCUCAUUCAUAUGUUGUUUUAAUUAUUAUUAUUGAAAUCUCAUUUGACUCCCCUCAAUAACCCUGGGUUGUGACAGGGGACAGUGCCCGGGUGAUUAUUCCCAGUUUACAGGUGCAGAAACUAGAGCUUCAGAGCUUAAUUAACUUGCCAUGGGCCACACAGUUCUCCUGACUUGCAACCAAAAGAUCUUUCGUCAGCUCCAGGUUGGCUCCUUACCUUGCAAGGUGUUAUCAGGAAAGAUAGGCACCAGAGCCCGGUGGAGAUGCCCCGCUGGAGGGGGACCAGAUGCUCCUACACAGCUACAAAGAGGCAGGAGUGGAGAGGAAUUUUCUUUGGGGUAAAGGAUCUAGGCCUGUGGAAUGAGGUACCUCUCCAAUUCUUCUUCCCCUAAGCAGUCCUGCUGCAAGUUCCUGCAGCCUAAACUCUGGACGGGUGGGGAACAGUCACCUCUAAUCCCAGGAGGGAGAAACAACCUUCACUUUCUCCCCCACCCCCGGCCCCCCCCACUCUCCCUGCGGAGCUUCUGACAAAGAGACUAGAGGCCUGGGUGAGCCUCUAAUCCUUUCUCUAUUGGUCAUCUCUUCGGAAAUUGGAAGAUAAACCUUGCCAGAGUUGCAAAUUGAGAGGAGAACCCUUCCAAGAGAUCUGAAUAAACUAACCCUAGAGUAUUCCAGCGUUUGAGUAAUCAAUCCAUGAUUAGCAAAGUCUUAAAAAGCCUGAAGCCUGAAUUUAGCCAACAAACAUUCAUAUAGCACCCUCUAUGCGCAAAGCACUGUGCUAGGUGCUUCAGGGAUGGAGUUUACCCACCUCUGGUUACAGUCAGGGAAGGAGAGCAGCUAGCCACUAACUCCAGCUCAGAGCACAAUUCAGUCAGUAUUCAACAGAGGACCAGAGAGAGUGUUUUGGGGGUUGGAGAGAGGAGGCAUUAAUUCUUACUGUAGGCACCAAAAAGAGGUUGAAUCUGGAGCCAGCAGAAUAGGAGUCAAGAGAAAAAAGAGAAUGGACUGAUAUUAAGCAACAACAAUAUGUCUGUGAGUCUUAUUGUCAUAUAACCCUUUUGAAGAAGAUGUCAUUUUCUCCACUAUAGAGAUGAGAAAACCAAAACUUACAGAAUCAAAGUUUGCCCAGUUUGUGUAGCAGAAUGGAAACUAAGUUCAGUCUACUUGUACUCUACCACACAGCCAUGUAGCAAAUAUGAUAUAAGAACACCCAGACUGGCAGCUGCAUGGACAGAAACCAGAUGACCUGAGGAGAAAUUCCUACAAGUAGUAUUGCUGAGCCAAAAGAUAAACAUCUUUUCACUAAGGUAUUUCUGAAAUCUGAAUCUUAUGCCCUUGCCUCCCCUUCUCAGUUCCAGUCUUACCUACCCCUGUCCACUGGAGAAAUCCCUGUGGAUGUUUCUUGGUAUCCAUCAACACCCUAGAUUCAUUUGUUCUAAAACAAAGGUCAUCACCCAAGAAGCUUUCUCCUCCCUCUGUUUUCUCACCCCUGGUGGAAUUACCAUCUGCCCAAAUCCUGGAUCUUAGACUGGUGAGCCCUCUUAUCCCGAUUCCCAGAGUCCUGCCGCCAUACCCAUGUCUUUUCAAAUCUGUCUCUUCCACAUUCUCUGGCUACUACCUUUGCCCAGGUCCUCCCUUCUUGCCUGGCCAGUUACCAACUCUCCCUCCUUGCCAUCCAGUCUGUCCCCCACUUUGUUCCCAUCUGAUCAUACAUGUCACACCCCGACUGCAAGCUGUCCAAAAAACUUCCUCUUCCUACCUGCCAGCUUUCAGUAUCCACCACUUCACCACAUCAUCUAGCUACCCCUAAAGGAUUCUUUAAGCCUCUGCAGAGUUCACUCUUCACAUACACCCCCAGCACAAACCAAAUUUAUAGCACCUCUGCGAUGCCUGUCUAAAGCCUCUUCCCUCCCCCGCUCCCAACCCCAGGCUAGGCACUCCCUCCUCCUCAGCUCCCAGCACACCUUACUUUUCUCUUUUAUUGCACUUGUCACGUUGUAUUGUCUUGACUUGUUUUCAGAACUGUUUCCACAGUCUGUUGAACUCCUUGAGGGCAGAAUUGGUAUCUUUCUCAUUCUUGUGCCCGGUACCUGGCAUAUAGGAGGUACUCCUUAGCUGUUUGUUGGAUAAACAAAUGGUACAUCUGGGGAAUAGUGAUGGGAAUGGAGUCUGAGGGGUGGGGUGGGGCUCAGUGACUGACUGGCAACCAUGUGUGAAGAUUGAAAAGUGGGUUGGGCUCUUUAACACUCCAUUGGAGGAGCGUGGGCUUCAGUUUAAAGACAGGGAAGAGUGCCUGAAUUGGGGAAAAGAGGUUGGGCUGUUAUGUUUUGGGAGGCAGAUUCUGGCAAUGUAACUAGCUUGGAAAAGCAAGAUUUAAAAGCAGAGGGGACUAGUCAGGAAGCUAUGUCAGAGAAGGUAUAGAUGGAGCCCAGAAGUGACAUGGCAAUGGGAAUGAUGCCAUUGGCUGGAGGACAGCUGUGAAGGGCUGACAAGGAAACCCAGGGGUUGUCUAUGGCCAUACCACCCUGACCGGGCUUGAUCUCGUCUGAUCUCAGAAGCUAAGCAGGGUCAGGCCUGGUUGGUACUUGGAUGGGAAACCCAGGGGUCAACCACUGUAUAGAGGAGGAGUUCGAAAUGUCAGAUGAAAACCGAGAAAGGUGGGGGUCACAAGGGCAAAAGGCAGAAACUUUUUUUUUUUGGGUCUGCAAUGAGUCUUAGUUGCGGCCCUCGGGUUCUUUGUUGCUGCGAGCAACCUUUCUCCAGUUUUGGUAAUGGGGGCUACUUUCUAGUUGUGAUGCACAGGCUUCUUAUUGCAAAUGGGUUCUCUUGUUGCGGAGCACAGGCUCAAGGGCACAUUGGCAGUAGUUGCAGCACAUGGGCUCAGUAGUUGCAGCUCUUGGGUCUAGAGUGCAGGCUCUAGUAGCUGUGGUGCACAGACUUAGUUGUUUUGCAGCAUGUGGGAUCUUCCCGGACCAGGGAUCAAACCCAUGUCCCCUGUGUUGGCGGGAAAAUUCUUAACCAUUGGACCACUCAGGAAAUCCUGAAAAGCAGAGGUUUUGAAGAGCAACUCAGGAUGUACACCUGGCUGUUGUCAUCAGAUAGCUGAUCCAAGGACCACCUCGGGGCUCUGUCUGAAAAAACUUUUGCUGGACACAGUUGAGUGGGGGGAGCCCAAGAAGUACGCCAGUAAAAUGCCAUCCCCAAGAGGUUGGAGGUGAGAAAGUCACAGAAAUCUAGAGAACAGCGCAGCACCGGUGGAGAUGGGCCAUGUAGCUUAUGCCAAGCACUACUUGAACAAAGAAGCUGAGAACUAUAGAAGGAGGUGUUCUGAUAGACUUGGGUGAGCAAGAAGGGCUUCUGGGAGAGGGAUUGAACCCAGGCCCUCAGCUGUGAGAGUGUGGAGUCCUAACCACCGGACUACCAGGGAGUUCUCUGAAGACUCUCUUGCUCUUUUUUUUUUUUUUGGCCACACCACAUGGCAUGUGGGAUCUUAGUUCUCCAACCAAGGAUCAAACCUACAUCCCCUGCCUUGGUAACAUGGAGUCUUAACCACUGGACUGCCAGGGAAGUCCCUGAAGGCUGAUUUUUAAGCUUCUCAGGCAAAAUGGCACCCUUUCUCCUCCCAAAACCAAUGAGCUUUGCUGAGAGCAGAUCCAGCACAGAAGACAGCCAGAGCCAUGCUGGUUGGCAGACACUUGUCUUUAGCAAAUGUAAUUAAAGUCAGCAGCAAGCAUUUCACCUGAUGAGAAAACAGUCCACUCAACACAGAGGACUGAGGGACGAGCAUUAAACUUGGGGUUACAGUACCUGGAAGUUCUUCACCAGCCCUACCACUUUCCAGUUGCAUGAUGUCUGACAAGUCACCUGUCUCCUCUCUGAACUGCACUCCCCAGCAAGGGUGACUGCUCUCCUGCCCUUAACGAUUUGUUGUGAGGAUCUAGACAAUGAUGUGAAAUUCCUUUUCAAGUUAUUCACCCUUAUGUAAACCAGGGAUCAUUCUUAAUAAUAGCAAAAUAAUAAAUCCACUCUUAAUAAA